rnacentral:rRNA from 1 species
CCUACGGGAGGCAGCAGUGAGGAAUAUUGGUCAAUGGGCGCGAGCCUGAACCAGCCAAGUAGCGUGAAGGAUGACGGCCCUACGUGUGUUAAACUUCUUUUAUAAAGGAAUAAAGUGAGGCACGUGUGCUUUUUUGUAUGUACUUUAUGAAUAAGGAUCGGCUAACUAGUUCCCAGCAGCCACGGGAAUACGGAGGAUACGAGCUUUAUCCGGAUUUAGUGGGUUUAAAGGGAGCGUAGAUGGGUUGUUAAGUCAGUUGUGAAAGUGUGCGGCACAACCGUAAAAUUGAAAGUGAUACUGGCAGUCUUGAGUACAGUUGAGGUAGGCGGAAUUCGUGGUGUAGCGGUGAAAUGCUUAGAUAUCACGAAGAACUCCGAUGGCGAAGGCAGCUUACUAAACUGCAACUGACAUUGAUGCUCGAAAGUGUGGGUAUCAAACAGGAUUAGAUACCCCAGUAGUC